rnacentral:misc_RNA from 1 species
CAAAUAAGGGCAGAGGGGAAUUAGACAUGUCUAGCUGUUUACCUGUUAUCUUGGCCUUCUUGUUGUGUCAAAGAAUAUUUGGUGGUUAUGGUAGGUGACCUCAUUUAUGCUUUGAAAAGUUACUUGAGAGUGCCUAAGUUUUAUGGAAUGUUACAUAUCAUUUGUUUAACUUUUGAAAUGAAGUUGCACCUUUUUGUUUUGGGUACGUAAAAUGAUGCACAAAAUUAAGUAUUGCUAUUUUGGUAUAUAUUGCUUUUUCGUUAUCUUAGAUGUUUUUGCAUUGCAAAAUCCCAUGAAACCUUUAUGUCCUGUCUAGUAGAAACUAUUGCCAAAUCUGGGUGGACUUUUAUUAUCCUCAUUCCUCCUCAAAAAUGAAUUAACAAAUAGAAUUGCUCUUGCUGCUGUCAAGAUCAUUACUAUCUUUUAUUCUUCAAAGUUCACGUCUGGUAAUUCUAGAAUUAACUUAUGUUCCUUUCAUAUGAUUGGGCAGCAAGACAUCAACUUCAAUGGAGAUGGAAGUCACUGGGGGCUGAGACUUGCUAAGUUCUAUGGCCUUGACUGGUAUGUGUUUGUGUGUGUGUUUUAGGAGGAGUGUUGGAUGGGCCUUUGAUGGAUAAAUGUUGGUUACUUUAGUAUUUGUGUUAAUUUAGUGCUAUUAUGUGUAGAAAUUUGGGCAAUGUGUGGAGCAAGAGACUAUUUCAGAGGCUUACCGAACACCCUGAAUAAAACAAUUAAAAGAAACUACUUUAAGAGCAGAAUUUCUGGAAUGGAAUAUGAAUCAGACUGGACAAGACACAGAAAAACCUCAGCAUUUACUGCUCAAGCAAUUCGACCUGCAACAUCUUUUAUGCCUUGGUCUUGUAAAAUUCCUAUAGGUGAUGGUUAUCAUGAGUUUCUUUAAUCAAAAUCUGUCAUUUGAAAGCACUGAUACAUUCUAGGGAGAUAUAGUAGAUUGAAUACAGUAAUCAUCUACAUCUCUCUUGAUUUUCUGAAAAUGCCGGGUAUUGUGAGUGGCAAGAAGAGAUUGACAGAGACAGAUAUUUGUCUCUCCAAUUCACUCACCCAAGAUAUGUCAACUUGUUCAAAGAGCAACCUUCUAUUAGCUUCUCAGGUUGCCGAAGAUAUUGACAGUCCCAUUCUACCUGGGCUGCCUGAUGAUGUGGCAAAGUAUUGUCUCGCACUUGUCCCUCGUCCCUAUUUCCCAGCUAUGGGGGCUGUAUGCAAGAAAUGGAGAUCAAUUAUUAGAAGCAAAGAAUUCCUUGUGGUGCGAAAAUUGGGUGGUUUGCUUGAGGAAUGGCUAUAUGUCCUAACUAUGGAUUCUGAAGGAAAGGAAAGCCACUGGGAAGUUUUGGAUUGCUUGGGACACAGACGUCAGCUUCUUCUACCAAUGCCUGGUCCUGUGAAGGCUGGCUUUGGGGUGGUUGUUCUAAAUGGAAAGCUUCUUGUCAUGGCUGGCUAUUCAGUUAUUGAUGGGACUGGCUCUGCCUGUGCAGAUGUUUAUGAAUAUGAUUCCUGCCUCAAUAGUUGGAGCAAAUUGUCAAAUAUGAAUGUUGCACGCUAUGAUUUUGCAUGUGCAGAGGUUGAUGGCAGAGUUUAUGCUGUUGGGGGCUAUGGAAUAGAUGGUGAUAGUCUCUCAAGUGCUGAGAUGUAUGAUCCUGAUACUGAAAAGUGGACCCUGAUAGAGAGUCUUCGCCGCCCAAGGUGGGGCUGUUUCGCUUGCGGCUUUGAGGGAAAACUUUAUGUCAUGGGAGGAAGGUCAAGCUUCACUAUUGGCAAUUCAAAAUUUGUUGAUGUGUACAAUCCUGAGAGUAACUCAUGGUGUGAGAUCAAGAAUGGUUGUGUCAUGGUUACUGCUCAUGCCGUGCUGGAAAAAAAGCUCUUCUGUAUGGAGUGGAAGAAUCAGCGGAAACUAGCAAUAUUCAAUCCAGAGGACAAUUCGUGGAAAAUGGUGCCAGUUCCAUUGACAGGUAGCUCAAGUAUUGGUUUUCGGUUUGGAAUACUUGAUGGGAAACUUCUGUUGUUCUCACUAGAAGAGGCACCUGGUUACCGUACACUGUUGUAUGAUCCUAAUGCUUCCCCAGGUUCAGAGUGGCAGACUUCUGAAAUAAAGCCGUCCGGACUGUGCUUGUGCAGUGUGACCAUCAAGGCAUGAAAUGGUGCAUUUUCUGGGACUACAAGUUCUUAUUACAAGUCUAGAGUGUAUUGUACUAUUACUGGAUAUCUUUGUAAUGGUUAAAUGUACUGACUUCUGUAUUUCACUUUCACUUGUUGUUAAGAUUGAGCAAUCUAGUUGGUAUGAAUCUCUUGCUACAUUCUUCCUUGCCCCUCAACUAUGUCGUGUCAGAAUUAUUGAGGUAGUAAUGUGUUUAUUCUUGUGUUUAUUUUUUGGCUCAUGAGUUCUUGCGGGGCACCCAACCACUCCCAGGGCGCAUGAGUUAUAUAGGCUCUGAACCAGAACCUGAACUUGCCACUGUGAUUGUUGCUAUUUGAGACGGUACCCUUUAGUAGUCUCAAAUGAAAAUGGCUUCCCUUCAUUUGGUAAGGUGGACAGAAGGCCAAGGAUAUCUACAUACUACUUCGAGGAACAAUCAAAAUGAAUAUCAAGCGCAGCUAAGAGCAUCCCAUUAUUUUGAGAAAAAGCUUGAAUGAUUGAUUUGGGGUGAAGCCAAACCUUGAGAUGUCUUUGCUAUUGGCAUUUUGGGAUUGUAAGACGUGUGUGUUCUUGGAAUGUUCUGAAUGACAUGAUUCUAUUUCCUUCCUU